CCAGAGAUUAAUUUCAUAAUCUUAAGAUUAAAUUUUUACAUUUGCUUUUUUUUUCUUUCUGCUGUUGCUUCUCAUGAAAUCUCUUUGUCCCUGGAUUCACUACCAGCAUGUAGGAUCCUCAUGUAGCACAUUUCUCUUCAUUUGAGUAAAUGCAUCUUCUGAUAUAUGUACUUACUAUAGAAAAUUGAAACAAGAUUCACAAAGACUUAUGGCAAGAGUAGCCACAUUAAAUAUUUAAGGGUACAGGAAAAUAAUGUAACAAUGUAACAGUUUUGGGAGCUCAGAGAAUUCACUCAGGACAUAAGGCAGUCGAAUUUCUUUUUAUGCUCUGUCCAACAAAAAUAUUAUAUGCCAUAUUCAAAACACGUACAACCAGAUUUACACCACUGAAAAUCAUGGUAUCCAGUGUAAGACAUACAGACUUGAAGAAAUUGAAACUGAGUUACUCACUGGAAGCCAGAAAGAAAGAGAGAAACUAAUCCCAAAUAAAUAGUACAAAUUUUAUCUUACUACAGAGCACCUGCUUUUUGUAAUUCACAUGUCAUUUUUCUUUGGAAGAAUAAUUUGGAAGUGAAAAGCUAUUUCUUUGAAGUGAGAUUAUACCUCAUCAGAUUACCUGUUCAUGUUGCAAUAUAUGGACAAAUAAAUGAGGUUACAUUUGAUACAGAUAUUCAAAUAUAGGAAUUUGGUUUAAUAAUACAACCAUAUGACAUACAAUUUUACAGGUAAUUAGCAGAAACAAGAUAAACAUAUGGGUUUUCUUUUGUGAAACUAUAUUAAUUACUGAUGCAGAAACUUAGAAGUUGUCAUAGAAAGUUUACACUAUAACCAAUCUUAGCCUAGUGAGGUUGUGGAUAAAAAGGAAUACUUACAUACUUUCGGUAGGAGUGUAAAUUAGUUAAGCCACUGUGGAAGACAAUGGGACAAUUCCUCAGAGCCCUAGAGACAGAAAUGCUAUUUGACCUGGCAAUCUCAUCACUGGGUAUAUACCCAAAGGAAAAGAAAUUGUUCUAUUAUAAAGAUAC
rnacentral:lncRNA from 1 species